GACAGAGGGUGCAAACGUUGUUCGGAAUUACUGGGCGUAAAGCGUGUGUAGGCGGUGAGGUAAGUCGGAUGUGAAAGCCCAGGGCUCAACCCUGGAAGUGCACUCGAUACUGCUUCGCUUGAGUACUGGAGAGGUCGGUGGAAUUCUCGGUGUAGAGGUGAAAUUCGUAGAUAUCGAGAGGAACAUCUGUGGCGAAGGCGGCCUGCUGGGCAGUAGCUGACGCUGAGGCGCGACAGCGUGGGGAGCAAACAGG
rnacentral:rRNA from 1 species